UACAGAGGGUGCAAGCGUUGCUCGGAAUUAUUGGGCGUAAAGGGCAGGUAGGUGGUCUCAUUUGUCUGGGGUGAAAGCCUUGAGCUUAACUCAAGAAGUGCCCCGGAAACGGUGAGACUGGAGUAUUGGAGAGGGUCGCGGAAUUCCCGGUGUAGCGGUGAAAUGCGUAGAGAUCGGGAGGAACACCAGAGGCGAAGGCGGCGACCUGGACAAUUACUGACACUCAACUGCGAAAGCGUGGGGAGCAAACAGG
rnacentral:rRNA from 1 species